AAAUGCAUUAUUACCGAUGAUUUUUAAUCACGAUCAAGUUCCUUGCAAGUUUUCCUAGAAGCCAGGGUACAGAAACUUUGUUAGAUGUUUAUCCCUGCAACUUGCAAGAGCCUUCUUGAAUCACACUAACUGCAGUAUUGUCGGUUUUACAGGAAAGCUGAGGAAAGUUCAAAUUAAAACUAGCACAAAAACAGUAAAUAGCAUAUCUGAUCACAAAUCUCGACGAGAUAUUAACCAUUGAAAUUUCCUACCAUUUUUGUGCUUAUCAUAAUCUGAACUAAGGUUUUGAUAUCAUUUGUUUUCCUGUGUGUUGGAUGUGUUCUGUAUCUUAUCAUCUGUAUGGAUAUUAUGUAUUCUCAAUUUAAUUUAUUCAAAGGUAUGUGAAACUGAAAACCCGCAAUGAGCCUUCUGAGAGGAGAUCCAUACUCAGCAGUGAGCGGGCAAUGGGUUGAUCUUGAUGAUGAUGCUGAUAAUCUAAACUUUAAACAACUCUCCUGUAAAAUGUAUAAUUGUGUAAUUAGUGCAAUCGUAAAUUAAGCCCUGGAUAUAAUAUUUUUUUUUGUAAUGUGUCUAGUUCAUGAACAAUAUACGAUUCCGUGUAGAAACCAAAGGGGUAGGUAUGGGUUUAAUAACAACUGCCAUACCAUUUCCAGGCUAGCCCACUUACAUAUACUGCAUCAUCACUUACCAACAGGUGAGAUUGCAGUCAAGGGCUAACUUGUAUCAGAAUAAAUAAAUAAUAAAAAUAUUUAUUGUUAGUUUAUUAGUUUACUCCAGCACUAGAUUGGAACGGAUAACCGGCAAUGUUAUCCAAUCUUUAACUGUCCAUAAAUGAUCUAAAUUGCUCUUUACAUUAAAAACGCUGUUGUAUCGUUGUCCUUACACCUUGCCUAACAUAAUUCCAUAGUGUUCCAGUGUUAUAUUGGAUCACUGCACUGGAAACAAUAAUGUGUCUUGGGAAUACAGGUCGUUUGGUUAACCGAAAGAUACACCUUUGGUGUCGAACAAACAAGUAGGUAGGUCAUACUUAGUACCCAUUCGCUUUAUAUUUAUUACAUAAAUUAAUUAACACUCCAUUGGAUAAAUGCCAUUACACCCUAAUAUAGUUCAGGGUUUUGUUUUGCCCGUCUAUAAUUAACUAUUUUUGGCAUAAACAUAAAAGACAGUUCCGACAAAUGUUGUAAAAUCAAUUAAGUAAAUGAAAUCAUGACGUUGGAUAGUUUCCAUGUGUAGCGAUAGGUACAAGAUACAAAUCGUUAUAUUGAUCAAAAUACCAUCGAAGUUGGGGUUGAUAGAUCGUAACAUAGGUAUUCCAAUUUUUUUUUACUGCGUGAUAGGCUUGCGCUUAAAGACAAGCUUAAAAAGCAAUGGAGGUCUAGGUUAGAGUCAA